GGCCAGGCCCGGAGAGUCCCGCGCCCUCAGGUCGCAGCCGAGCGUGCCGUGCGUCCGCAAACCCCACGCGGAGCAAAGACGGAAGGAAACGAGAGCGGGACGCGGGACGCCGGAGCAGGGCAGUCAUUUCCUCAGAGCUCUGCUUGAGCUCCUGUGUUGAAGUGAAGCAGAGGAGCAAAUCUUGAUGCAGAAGACCCUGUAGGAGGCUUCUACAAUGCUGGAGGAGAACCUUGGCACCUGGGAACAAGACUUAGGGUCUACAUGAAGAAACCAGCACAGAGCUGUAUACUGUGGUCCAGCAUACACGUCAAACAACCAGCGCCUUUGGAAGCACAGACUUAGGCUGUUGUGUGGACUGAAUAAGAAAAACUAGGAAAAUACUUUGAAGAACAGCUACUCUUCGUGUGGCAAGUUCUAUAGAAAAGAUCAAGUCAAUAGCAAAAUGCGACUGAAAUUCCUAGAAGAAUCACCACUGUGAUGGAGCCUAUUAUCCGGAUGUCAUUGGUUGGAUCCACCAUCAUUGAAUCACUUUCCUAAAAAAAGAAUCACUGGCAUACUUAGAUAUAUAGCUUUUUGCAUAUGUGUCUUAUGUUAGCAUUUAACAAUGAAAAGAUACUCUACACUAUUGCCUGGGGCCAUCUUGGAUAACAUAAAAAUAAAGUGCUCAUAAAUUUGAGAAUAUAAAGAACCUAACCCUAUUUUACUUUUCCAAGAUAAUAAGCCUUUGAGAUCCAUGGACAGGAGUUGGAAAUUUUAGAGAUUAAUUCUAGUUAUAGCUUUUGAAGCUAUUGUAGCACACAGUAAAAUUUUGUGUGCAAAUACCUAUUGUGUUUUGUGUCAUAAGAAUGGUUAUGUUUGUGUGUCAGGGGGAAUCCUAGAAUAAUAAAAAUG